rnacentral:rRNA from 1 species
GGGCCCGCACAAGCGGUGGAGCAUGGUGGUUUAAUUCGAUGCAACGCGAAAAACCUUACCUACCCUUGACAUCAUCAGAACUUGUUAGAGAUAACUCGGUGCCUUCGGGAACUGAUUGACAGGUGCUGCAUGGCUGUCGUCAGCUCGUGUCGUGAGAUGUUGGGUUAAGUCCCGUAACGAGCGCAACCCUUAUCCUUAGUUGCCAGCACGUAAUGGUGGGGACUCUAAGGAGACUGCCGGUGCUAAGCCGGAGGAAGGCGGGGACGACGUCAAGUCAUCAUGGCCCUUACGGGUAGGGCUACACACGUGCUACAAUGGCCGGUACAGAGGGUUGCCAAGCCGCGAGGUGGAGCUAAUCUCAGAAAGCCGGUCAUAGUCCGGAUUGCAGUCUGCAACUCGACUGCAUGAAGCUGGAAUCGCUAGUAA